GCACCUCAAACACAAGCUUUUCCUCAAACCAAGUAAUGAAGAGGAUGAAGACUUCACCUCCAAGCAACCUUUUUCUUCUCCAAAUGCACCUCCAAUUCCUCUCUUUGGUGGAGAAAUUGUUAGAGAGAGAGAGAUAUUUCUCUUUGGUUGCAAGUGUGAGGGAGAAAGAAAGAAAAUGCUCAAGUCCCCUAUAUAUAUAUAUAGGAAACUUGGCCUCCAAGUUUCAUAGGAAACUUGGUCUCCAAGUGUCAUAGGAAACUUAGCCUCCAAGUUUCAUAGGAAACUUGGCCUCCAAGUUAUCUAGGAAACUUGGCCUCCAAGUUAUCCAAGAAUACUAUUCACAUUCAGUUUAGCAGCACGGUACAGAUAUUUUUCGUCUGCCCUGUCUCUCACAGAAAAUUCUAAAUCUUCUGUUUUCGCUUCCAUUUCAACACGGGUCACUCUAGACUUAUAAUUUAUGUCUAUAAGUCCAAUAAAAAUAGUAUCCCACACUAUUUUUAUUUAUUUCCACUUUUACAUUUAAAAUCCGGUACCUUACACACCCGCUAUGGAAGGCUUUGAAAUAAAAAUAAACAACCAAUGGGAGGCUUUGAAAUGAAAACAAACAACCAAUGAGGGUGAGGACUAUUUAAUAAUAGUUUCUAGUGGGUAAGC
rnacentral:lncRNA from 1 species